rnacentral:misc_RNA from 1 species
CUUAUGGAAAAGCUUCCUGGAACUUUCUCCAAGAUAUUUGUUAGAGAGGGUGUUGUGCAUGCUGUAGAUCAGCUUGUCUUAGCUGGAAAUCCAAAUUCCACUUCUACCCAAGCAUCCUCUGUUGACAAGGACAAUGAUUACGUGUCUGGAACAUCAUCUCGUUCCAGACGUUAUAAACGUCGCAGUGGCAACUCAAAUUCUGAAGGAAAUUCAUCAGAAGAAUCCAAGAAUCCUAUUUCAAUAGAACUUGGAGGUGAUCCAGCGAUUGUUGGACCCAAUGGUUAAUACCAAUCUUCGCAUGGCAGUCAGUGCAUGUGCUAAGGCUUUCAAAGAUAAAUAUUUUCCAUCUGAUCCUGGGGCUUCUGAGGUUGGAGUUACUGAUGAUCUUUUACAGUUAAAAAAUCUUUGCAUGAAGUUGAAUUUUGGUGUUGAUGACCAAAAGACUAAAGCAAAAGGAAAAUCCAAGGCAUCUGGGUCUCAUGCUGUUGAUAGUUCUGCUAAUAAAGAAGAGUAUUUGAUUGGUGUGAUAUCUGAGAUGCUGGCAGAACUAAGCAAGGGGGAUGGUGUAUCCACUUUUGAGUUUAUUGGAA